GGUCUCAUGGUGUAAUGGUUAGCACUCUAGACUUUGAAUCCAGCGAUCUGAGUUCAAAUCUCGGUGAGACCU
rnacentral:tRNA from 1 species